AGCCCCGGAGCCCCUUAGGGCUCGUCUUCAAAUUUGCAUUUUGAUGUGAAACACUUCAGGACU
rnacentral:tRNA from 1 species